ACGGGUGAGUAACACGUGGGAACGUGCCCUUCGGUUCGGAAUAACUCAGGGAAACUUGAGCUAAUACCGGAUACGCCCUUAUGGGGAAAGGUUUACUGCCGAAGGAUCGGCCCGCGUCUGAUUAGCUUGUUGGUGGGGUAACGGCCUACCAAGGCGACGAUCAGUAGCUGGUCUGAGAGGAUGAUCAGCCACACUGGGACUGAGACACGGCCCAGACUCCUACGGGAGGCAGCAGUGGGGAAUAUUGGACAAUGGGCGCAAGCCUGAUCCAGCCAUGCCGCGUGAGUGAUGAAGGCCUUAGGGUUGUAAAGCUCUUUUGUCCGGGACGAUAAUGACGGUACCGGAAGAAUAAGCCCCGGCUAACUCCGUGCCAGCAGCCGCGGUAAUACGAAGGGGGCUAGCGUUGCUCGGAAUCACUGGGCGUAAAGGGCGCGUAGGCGGCCGAUUAAGUCGGGGGUGAAAGCCUGUGGCUCAACCACAGAAUUGCCUUCGAUACCGGUUGGCUUGAGACCGGAAGAGGACAGCGGAACUGCGAGUGUAGAGGUGAAAUUCGUAGA
rnacentral:rRNA from 1 species